rnacentral:rRNA from 1 species
UUUAUGGAGAGUUUGAUCCUGGCUCAGGAUGAACGCUGGCGGCGUGCCUAAUACAUGCAAGUCGAGCGAACAGACAAGGAGCUUGCUCCUUUGACGUUAGCGGCGGACGGGUGAGUAACACGUGGGUAACCUACCUGUAAGACUGGGAUAACUUCGGGAAACCGGAGCUAAUACCGGAUAAUAUUUCGAACCGCAUGGUUCGAUAGUGAAAGAUGGUUUUGCUAUCACUUAUAGAUGGACCCGCGCCGUAUUAGCUAGUUGGUAAGGUAACGGCUUACCAAGGCGACGAUACGUAGCCGACCUGAGAGGGUGAUCGGCCACACUGGAACUGAGACGCGGUCCAGACUCCUACGGGAG